UUUCGCUAUCGCGCCGAUUUGAUGGUCAGCUUGCGGGCGCGUAAUAAAUUCGGCUAAAGAGAGGGAAACCCGUUCAGC
rnacentral:ncRNA from 2 species